rnacentral:rRNA from 1 species
UGCGUAGGUGGCGGGGUAAGUCUGGUGUGAAAUCUCGGGGCUCAACCCCGAAACUGCACUGGAUACUGCCUUGCUUGAGUACUGGAGAGGAGAUUGGAAUUUACGGUGUAGCAGUGAAAUGCGUAGAUAUCGUAAGGAAGACCAGUGGCGAAGGCGAAUCUCUGGACAGUUACUGACACUGAGGCACGAAGGCCAGGGAGGCAAACG